CGCGCUGGGAGUCUGCGCUCAGUUUUUCCUUCUGUCAACCUCCGUCUAACGGGCUGUCCUGGCAUCCCCGGGGCAUGCUGGGGACCAAGUGCGGGCACACAGCAAGCACUUAAUUUAUGGCAGUUUUGUGCACAUUUGUGAAGGAUGAUGCUGAGAUAGGGGCGCGUAUUUGACAUAUUCCCUGCGGCGGCAGGGCAUGAUGUGGAAGUGCUGCUUCACGGGAACCCGAUGCUGUAAAGGCUCACGAAUUCCUCGCAACCCGCCCGUCUCCCCCACGCCCCUUCUGCGGGGCUCCGCCGCCCACCCGGGGCUGCCGCAGGCGGCGGGCGGGCCGGGCCGGCCGGGGCUGCGCCAGCAGUCGCUGGAGGGAGUGGAACGACCCCCGAGCUCCGCGGGGCGUGGCGCCGGGGCCCGCCAUCCCCAGGGAGGCUGGAACGCGGUGCGCGGUGUUAGUGCCUAUUAUAAGAAAUAAGGAAAAGCAUAUGUCCUGUCCAGGCUGUGCUUCCCAAGACAGACAAGAUCCAAAUUCCAGGGCAGUACUACAUGCCAUCGAAUCAGCGGUUAUUAGGAGGUCACAUCAGUUUGAUGAUACUGUGAAUAGAGAUUCUAUUGAACCUCUUCUGUAUGGCUUUCAUCCAGACCCCUAAACUGAGGUGAACUUCUGGAAAGCAAGAAAAGACAAUCUUUUAUAUCUAAAUGGGCAACUCUGUGGAGUCAAACGCCAUCUCUGAGAGCAGGGAGUUAUGAAUUCAAUUCUUCUUGAAGUAAAGAAGCUGGCGAGCUCUGAUUUGCCUCCGUGCAGAGCAGCAUUGAUGAUUGAACUAAAACUUAGUGGAGACAGAUUAAUGUGGAACAGAUGGAUGUGCAGCUCAGAAGAUUUGCCAAGACAGGUUCCAUAGCUGUCUUUUUCCGCAAUUUAUCUGUCUCAUUGCCACCACUCCCUCACUCUUCCCACCCACUUGGAUAUUUCAGUGGAUUUGUUAGUCACGUCCAAACCAACCGAAUGUUCUGGAAUGUCUUUUGUUUUGAGGCUUUCCUUUAAAACCUUUUUCUUCUGGGUGACUUUCCAGUCCCUGUGGAGGUCAGACGUUUAGUAGCAGAAGACACUACCUUAACAUACCUUUUGGGAAGAUGAAAUGCAACACAUUGUUGACAACGCAGUGAAAAACUUGGGUACUAAAAAGAUUUUGGCAGAAAAGCCAAACGUUGGCUGCCAUGGAAUUUUAUGAAGAGUGUCCCAGGAAUGGAGUUCCUUUUAUAAAAAAGUCAGAUGAACAGCUACUUGAAACUUCAGAUAAC